rnacentral:rRNA from 1 species
GAUGAACGCUGGCGGCGUGCCUAAUACAUGCAAGUCGAGAGAACAGACGAGGAGCUUGCUCCUCUGACGUUAGCGGCGGACGGGUGAGUAACACGUGGAUAACCUACCUAUAAGACUGGGAUAACUUCGGGAAACCGGAGCUAAUACCGGAUAAUAUAUUGAACCGCAUGGUUCAAUAGUGAAAGACGGUUUUGCUGUCACUUAUAGAUGGAUCCGCGCCGCAUUAGCUAGUUGGUAAGGUAACGGCUUACCAAGGCGACGAUGCGUAGCCGACCUGAGAGGGUGGGGCGCAACAGGGAACGUGAGACACGACCACGCCUCCGCGGGGGGGCGCAAGGGGGAACUCUACGCAAAGGGGCGAAAGCCGGAGGACGCAACGCGGGGUGAGUGAUGAAGGUCUUCGUAUCGAAAAACUUUUUUAUUGGGGAAAAAAAAUUGGGUAAGAACAUAUCCAUGUCUGGAGGUAACCUAAAAAAAAGCCCAGGCCAAAGUCGGGC